rnacentral:lncRNA from 1 species
CACCAGUGCACUGAUUCAGCUACCAGUGCUGUGUUCUUGAGGUUCGGUCUCUUCUGCCCCAGGGUGAGAAAGCCACGACAUGCAAGAUCAAGUCCUUCGCUUAACACCUGCUUAGAAAGAUUCCUGGCCUCUAGGAUGAAGCCCUGUCCCGUUCUGAGAUCCAUCCACGAUCCUGCUCCACAGAGUUCCCCAGCUAGUGUCCACAGCUAGUGUCAGCGCAGUCUACAUAACCCAGUGUUAAUCUGCAUUGAUUAAAAAACUGAAUUUGUUGACAAUGUUGCAACCUUAUACCACUUCACUAGCUAUGGUCAGAACACUGGGUCCAGACAUUUUAUCUCCAUGACAACCGUUUGAUGAGGGGAGAAACCAGGGAGCCUGGGAUACUUUGUUACAGCAGGCUUUCUGCUGGCAUUUCCAGUCUUACUACCAGGGCCAUCAUUUAGUGGUAAUUUUUUUUUAAGAGUACACUUAACAAAAAAAGGUUAACUUUUUUUUUUGCAACGUGUCUUUUGAAAAGAACGAAAGAGAAUAAAUAUUAUACAUGUGCAAUAAGAGUGAAUAAUGAUUUGUAUAUAAAAAUAAU